GAGGGCGUGGAGGGAGAGGCAGGCAGAGACUCAGGGCUCUGGCAAGCUGGCGGAGGUCCCCUUGGGGGGGGUCACGCCUCCCGGAGCUCAGGGACCCCUGAGCUUGAACACAUUCCCGGUGCGGCCCUCUGCACAGGGCCCGGCUGUCUCCCAGUUCAUCCGCCGAGGCAGCAGCAGUGGACUCAUCCAUCGUGGAGGAAGCCCCCCGGACCCCAGAGACCCUGGGAACACUGGCCCCAGCCUGCUCCUAGGAGGAGCCUCUGAGCCAAUCCUUGCCCCCCACCCACAGCCCCCUCCCUCCUUUGUCUUCGGCAGACAAUCACCUGAUGGCGGCUUCUCCAGGUCAGUGCUUGGCUCUGAAGGGGUUGCAAGAAUGACACACAACACGGUUCCUGCCUUCAAAAUGCCUCCCAUCUGCUUAGAAAGAUAGAGCGUCCACACAGGCAGGUAUGCGGACUCUGGAGUCAGGCAAGCUGGCCUUCACACCCUGUUCUGGCUGUGUGACCUCGGGUAAAUCACUUAGCCUCUCUAAGUCUUGGUCUCCUCAUCUGCAAAAUGGGGAUAAUAAUAGUGCCUACGUUAUAGGCUAAAAAAAGACACCCCCCAUAUAUCAGUUCAGGACACGUGAUGAUCACCAUACACUUGUUAGCUAUUACCGUUAAGUUCACGUGAGGUUCAAGUUAUAUAAAGUAUGUAAAGAAUUGGGCAUUGUGCUCUGAAUAUCAGCGGUGCUUAUUCUCAUGCAAGGCGGUCAUAAGUGCUAACACAGCUACAGAUAAAGUUCCAUGGAAGCCUGGGGCUGCUUGCUCUCCCUGCAGGGGUCUGCGAAGCUCCUGGAGAGGUGGCAUUGAGGCUGAGUGCUGAAGAAUGAACAGGAUUUCAGCAAGCAGGGAGGAGUAUGUGCAGCAGACAGUGCCAUGCCAUGGGAUGGAGGCAGGACGAGAGGCCCGCUGGGCAUCGAUCGGCUCCAGAGCAGAUUGGCUGGAGCCCAGGCACUGAGCCUGGCCAGAGGCUGGGCUGGACUUUGGGCUCCCAGCAUCUUGAGGACAAGGGCCAAGUUGGGGUGUGACGCUGUGAAUCCUGGAGUAACAGCCCAGCACCGAGAGGAGGGGGAGUGUGACACCUGAAGGAGACCCAGCCUGGGGCCCGAGACCAGGGUUCGGGUCCUGGCUCCCAUCUGAGCUUGGUGCUCUGAGGCUGAUCUCCUUCCUCCUCUGAGUUGGCUCCCUCGCCUGUGAAAUGGGAAUAAUAAAACCUGACUUACCUCCCAAUUUCACCAUAAUCAUUACCACAGCAUAGGAAUGUGAAGUUACAAAUCAGCAUGUAAAAUGCAAAG
rnacentral:lncRNA from 1 species